rnacentral:rRNA from 1 species
AUUGAACGCUGGCGGCAGGCCUAACACAUGUAAGUCGAGCGGAGCGGCGGACGGGUGAGUUCUGCCUAGGAAUCUGUCUGGUAGUGGGCGACAACGACAGGCAACGGGCGCUAAUACCUCAUACUAUCAGAUGACCCAAGGUCGGCUCAGCUAUUUGGUGGGGUAAAGGCCUACCCAGGCGACGAUCCUCAACUGGUCUGAGAGGAUGAUCAGUCACACUGUAGCUGUGACAAGGUCCCGACUCCUUCGGGCGGCAUCGAUGGGGAAUUUUGGACAGUGGGGGGAGACCUGAUCCAGCCAUGCCGCGUGAUUUAAGAAGUUCUUCGGUUUGUAAAGCACUUUAAGUUGGGGGACGUUACCAACAGAGUAAGCACCGACUAACUUCGUGCCAGCGACCGCGGUAAGAG